AGGCGGCUCCCAGGUGUGGCGCGGCCCUGGGAGGGCGCGUGCGAGCGCUCCUUUGUUUGGUGCGCGCACAGCCCCCGGCCCCAGGCCUGAGCGCCAGCCUUCCCGAGCUGAGUCACGGCUGCAGAGCCCGCGGGCGGCCACACUGCCCCGCCCGGAAGGAUGCGGCCCUUUCCUGAAGCUGGCGAGUCAGAUGCGGUGGCAGGGACAAAAGCCGGGGGAAGGUGGUUUCUAUUCUACAAAGCCCUUUAGGGAAGAGGGAAGUCAGGCCUCCCUCAACCAGUGCGAGUCCGUCACGAUGGUCACCCAGGCACUCAUGCAGAAAGCCAGCUAGCGGCCGCUAGCCCUGAGGAUGCCACCCCCAAGGGACUCAUUGCUUUGAGUCACCCUUCCAGGGGCUUGAGGCAAAGCUCCAAGACAGACCUGUAGCAGCAUGGCCCAAAAGGUUCCUCUGCUGCCCUAGUCCCAUACCUGCCUGAGGUAUGGGGAUUCAGGCUGAGUCGGCUGACCUGCAGUCAUCUGGAAGCCUUGUCAGAAAUGCAGAUUCUGCAGUUCUGUUCCCAGAGGAUGAGAUUCAGCAGAACUGGAGAAGGAAGCCAUCUGCUACCCAAGGGGAGAGCUCUCACCAGACACUGACCUCCUGGCAUCUUGAUCUUGAUUUUGGAUUGUCUAGCCUCCAGAUCCAUGAAAAAAUAAAUGCCUUUCCUGAUGUUUAUAAUAUUUUGUUAUGGCAGAUCAAGCUCACUAAGACAAUGAUCAAAGACCUGUAAAACUCUGAACUUCUUGAGACAAUAAGGAUGCCUCUAACAGACUUGGGAAGAAGUCCUGCACAAAGAGCUGGGGGAAAACGGGAAGAAAAACACACAGAAUACUCCUUCAAGGCAGGCACUGGCAGACCUUCCACUGUGCACCAGGUUCUGUGCUAAGCUUCACCUUGGAGUAACCCUGCCUCUGGGGGUGAAGCUAUUAUAUCUGGGUGCAUAUUGGCCAGCCGACCCUCCAGGCAGCCCUUAAUUCUUGCUUCUCAAACUUACUUCCAAGGACGGAGAAAGAUGACCACUGCUCUCACCCCACUAAAGAAGCCCCAGCACUUAGCAAGCACCUAUGGCCCAGAGCAGACUGUCUCUACUUCAUUUUACUCUCCACACCCAGACUUGGACCACACUUGGAAAAGAACCAGCCAGUGCUGGAGGCUGCAUAUUGUGGAUAGCAGGACUCCACUCACAUCUCAAAGCUCCUCCCUGCCCAUUCCCAUGGUCCCUCCAGCCCUUGGGCAAUGCUACCAAUAGGAAGGAAAAAUGAGCUGGAUUUCA